AUAGUAUUUGUCUUUCUCUGUCUGACUUACUUCACUUAGCAUAGAGCCUUCAAGAUCCAUCAAUGUUAUUAUUGCAAAUGACAGGAUUUCGUCUUUCUCAUGGCUGAAUAAUAUUCCAUUGUGUAUAUAUAUAUCACAUUUUCUUUAUCCAUUUUUUUUUUGUUUGUUUAAUUUUGUCAUGGUAAAUUUCCUUUUUUCUUUUGAAAUAACUUCAAACUUACAGAAAAGUUAUACUGAAAGAAUAGUACAAAAUAACUCCCACAUUCUCUUUGCCCACAGACUCAGCCAAGUUUCAUCAUCUCAGUAACGUCUUUUAUGGUGAAACAACCCAAGGUAGCAUCACAUAUUAUAUCCAUGUCAUGUCUCCUGAGUCUCCUUCAAACUGGAGCUGUUCCUCAAUUUUCUUUUACUGUCAUGACCUUGUCUUUUUAAACAUACAGGGCCAUUUUAUAAGCUUCCCUCAGUUCAGGCUUGCCCAACACUUUCUCAUAAUUAGACUCAGGUUUUGCAUCUUUGACUGAAAUACCAUAGAAGUGGCCCUGUAUUCUUCUCAUUAUGUCCUAUCAGGAGCCACACAAUGUCAAUUUAUCUUAUUAUCUGUGUAUUAACUUUAAAUAUGUGUUUAAGAUGGUGUCAGCUGCCUAGUUUCUCCAAGGUAAAUUUACUUUUUUUCUUUCCUUUAAUUGAUAAAAUAUUUUGUGAGGAGAUAUGCUGAAAGGGUGCUAGGAGGGCUGGCUUCAAUAUCCCAGGCUUGAUUUUCUUUUUGCUUGGUUCCCACAAGGAAGGAAAGGAGGGGGUAGGGAGAGAGGGAGGAAAGGGAUGGAAGGGGAGGGAAGGAAGGAAAGGGAAGUAGAGGGAGGAAACAGGUAUACAUUUAGUUUUUCCCAAUUUCUUUUAUUGAGGCAAAACACAUAAAAUUUGCUAUCUUAACUAUUUGUAAGUAUACAAUUCAAUGUUUUAAGUACUUUCAUAUUGUUGUGUAACCAUCACCACCAUUUUCCUUGAAGUCUUGAAUUCUUGCACUGCUGUUUUCACAUUUUAAGUAGUAGUCACCUCCACUCUUUACAAACUGCUCCCUCCAGUGUGUGCAAACUUAUAUAAGUUUGCUCCAUUGGUGUGCUGGAACUUUUCUGCUGGAAAUCUGGACUUCCACAGAGGCUCUCUUGUACAAUGUGGUCCAGGGCCUGUCUGGACCAUAGCUGAGAAGAGCUGGAGGUGGUUCAUGGGCCAUUGCAGAUUCACAGCGAGGACUGUCUACAUGCUUAUUACCUGAUGCAUGGAUGGAUGAGACUUCUCCUGGGUGCAUUGGCAUGUGUGCUGGAUUCCACAACUUCCAUGGAGGCACUUUAGUCUAUGAGUGGAUACCAAAUUGUUGUUGUUGGGGGAAAUACAAACAAGGGACAUCUUAGUUAGCCAUGAUGAUUGACAUUUAAACUUACUGAAUGAUUGGGUGGUUGUAUCUCAUUCUAUGUCCAAAGUAAACAAUAUUUUUUCUAAAAAAUACGUAGAAGUUUUUCUUCCUGACUUUCCUUUUCUUUUCUUCUAAAGGUAACACUUUUUUUUUUCCUUUAGUCACUUAAGCUCAUAUCCUCUGAUUUGUCUUGUAAACAUUCAUCUCCUCACCUUUGAUCUUCACCAACUUUGGUAACUAUGACUGUCCCUCCUCUACCCAUUUAUACCUAUUCUAACUGCUGCCUCUGGCCUCGUUCAUACCCUUAUCACCUUUCACUGGGCUACUGACUGCUAUUUGUCUCCUAAUUAGUUUUCCUACCUCCAAUAUCCCUCCAUAUUAAUCCAUCUUCCCAGUGCCAGAGAAACUCUCCUGAAGCACAGGUCAGACCAUGCCAUGUCCUUUAAAGCAGACCAGAUGGCUCUGACACUAUCAGGAAAAAUCCAAGUUCCCUCAUGUGCCAUUCAGGUUUUCCUACAAUCUGGCCUCAAUCUGCCUGUCCACCCUAUUCUCUCAGCAAUUCCUUACACAUUUGACAUGCCAGUGUUUCCCAGGUGAAUUGCUCAGAACAGUGCUUCUUCAGAAAUUAAUAGAUGUUACUUUGGACAUAUUUCCCACGGCCAAAUAAGCUGGGAUGACAAUGAUAGCCUAAACAGAGCUUGGUAGGACUUCUCAGAGCCAAGCUGUGUUGAAAAUAUAUAUAUAUACACACAGUCUAUAUUGGGCAUAUAUUAAGUAAAACUGUAGAGAGAAAUAAGGAAAUGAUGAAUACCAAAUUCAAAUUCAAAGUAGUAAUUAUCUUGUAUGGAGAUGAGGAAAGUGUGGCAAGGGAGGUGUAUACAAGGUUUAAUGAUGUCAGGACUUGUUCUGUAUCUUAAGCAAGGUGGUGUUACAUGGUACCUAUUAUUUGUUGUUGUUUAUCCUGGGUACAUGUUAUUUGUUGUUGCUUAUCCCCCCGCCCCCUUUUAGCAUUUUUGAAAUCAGGAUUGUCUUAUGAUUGCUAAGAACCACUGACAAUUGUGAUGUAAUCAUCUUUACCUUAGAAGUAUCUUAAUGCAUUUCUUUCACUUAUGUUCUUUUAUUUUUGUAUGCAUAAGAGUGACAUAUGACAAAAAUCCAAGUCUGAAAGACCUCUUUCAUUGAGUACCAAAUAAAAAUCACAAUGGCAAGAAAAAAAUCACCCAUGACUUUGUAACAAUAUCGUCAUUCAAGUUUGAUGGUAACUUAAAGGGUCUUCAUGGCUGAAGCAGAUUUCCCAUGCCUCGUUCCCUCACUAUGGUCAAUGUAGAGCAUAAAGAUGGCUUUGAAAAUAGCAAGCUCAGUGUCCUACACAUAUCCAGUGUAGCACUAAUUUCUCAGCAACUACUUAUCGAAUUCUAAUCUGAAUCAUGUGUGAGGUAAAGACUUUGGCAACCAGGGAUAAAAGGAGCAUACAGCCAUAUCCAUUCACACAGAUGUGCACGGAGCAUGUGACUAUACAUUUAUUUGCAAUAACAGAGGACUUCAGUAUUUCCUUGCUUUAAAACCAUAACCAUGUUGUUCUAUGGGAAUAUGGAAGAAAAGUGCAUCCUGUUGCUAAGUGAUAUGUUCGUGUAAUUACUGGGGAAACAGAUGGCCAGUCAAUAGUAGACAGGUAAUUGCCUUAGAAAUGGAUUUAGUUAAAGAUUGGAAAUGAUGAUAAAGUGUAUUGUCCUAUGAUAGUGGUAUUAAGGCAGUUCACGGUCAAUUAUAAUAAAAAAAUCAUAGUGAAAAGAGCAUCUUAUUUCUACUUUAAAGCUAAUAGGAAGCCAACGCUUACUCUAUUAUUGAGCCAACCUUUGGAAGAAACUGUAACCACUCACUGUGCUAGGCAAACGCUAGGCUACUUUUUCUUCCAAGCAAGGAGUUGAACAUUUGAAUAGUCCAGUUAUCUAUUUGUUCAUUCAACCAUCCUCUCUUGAACACUCAUUAUUAUCCUUUCAUGUACCUCCCUUCUUUCCUACUCUGUACCUUCUUCCUCCACUUUGCCUGUAUGCACUCUGAUCUACCAGAAAAAUUUAGAAACGGGCACCUCACAAAUACUAAUUUAGAAACAACCACCUUACACACACAUUUGGCUGAUGACAAGGUCAAUUUCAGCAACCUUUUAAGAAAGUAGUAUGUCUCUCUAAGGUGAGCACAAAAAUAUUAUGUCAUUUGAUCCAUCAACCUCACUUCCUUGGAAAUUUGUCUGAAGCAAAUAAUUCAGCAGCAGAAAAUAGCUAUUUGUAUGAAGAUAUUUAUUGUGGCAUUAUCUAUAAUAGGAAGGAACUGGAAAGAAAUGAAACACCCCAUACUAAAUAAUAAUUUAAAAUGACAAUCACAUUAAUUCUACAUAAUAAUAUGCAGCUAUUCACAAUAUUUGCAAAAUAUUUCUCCUUAGAAAUCUGAACAAACUAAAGGUCUCUUAGAGAACAUAGUUUGAAGAAUUUGCCUGCUCUAUGUUUGUAUCUUUAUGAAGAAUUAGCAUGAAACAUAUAAAAUAUGACUGGGAAAGAACAAAAAAAGGUAAAAAUAAUGUGUUUGGAGAGUGUAAUAAUUUUUCACCAUCUUUAAAAAUUUAUUUUCAAUUUAUUUUGAUAAUAUUUUAUAAUACAUUUAAAGUGAACACCACAAGAGUUGUUCUGUAUGUGGUCAAAAUCCAAGAUGGCAUCUUGCAAGCAGCAAAUGAAAAGGCUUCACCACUUUUAGAAUUCAAGUAAUCUUAGAGAAAUAAAUAGUUCUGUUUUUCAGAGUUUUAUCUCCCUUGUUUUCUAUUGUGAGAGGCAUUUACAAGUAUAUUGAAUUUCUCUUGCUUAUGAAUUCAACUGCUGCUGCUUUUCCACAAACAGCCUUAAUCCUUUGUUUGGCUGUCAUAGUUGCUACUGCAGGAAUUAUGAUGCUGCCAACAGAGAAUGCAAGAGCUAAA